rnacentral:rRNA from 1 species
UACGUAGGGUGCAAGCGUUAAUCGGAAUUACUGGGCGUAAAGCGUGCGCAGGCGGCUUUGCAAGACAGAUGUGAAAUCCCCGGGCUUAACCUGGGAACUGCAUUUGUGACUGCAUGGCUGGAGUGCGGCAGAGGGGGAUGGAAUUCCGCGUGUAGCAGUGAAAUGCGUAGAUAUGCGGAGGAACACCGAUGGCGGAAGGCAAUCCCCUGGGCCUGCACUGGACGCUCAUGCACGAAAGCGUGGGGAGCAAACAGG